UACGAAGGGGGCUAGCGUUGCUCGGAAUCACUGGGCGUAAAGCGCACGUAGGCGGGUUGCUAAGUCAGGGGUGAAAUCCUGGAGCUCAACUCCAGAACUGCCUUUGAUACUGAAGAUCUUGAGUUCGGGAGAGGUGAGUGGAACUGCGAGUGUAGAGGUGAAAUUCGUAGAUAUUCGCAAGAACACCAGUGGCGAAGGCGGCUCACUGGCCCGAUACUGACGCUGAGGCACGAAAGCGUGGGGAGCAAACGGG
rnacentral:rRNA from 1 species